UCCCUCUCAGAGUCACACCUGGUGAGUUUCCAGUACUCUACCAGUUUCGUCUAUGGGAGGGAGAGCCAAGCAGAGACAUAGCCAUUCCAUUCCUAGCUUGAGCAGUGACUAGGGAGUGGAAGGCAAUCUGCUACAAGU